rnacentral:lncRNA from 1 species
CUCAAUCUGGGUAGACACCAUCUAAUCAGCUACCAGCAAGGCUAGAAUAAAACAGGCAGGAGAAGAUGGAAGAGCAGACUUGCUGAGACUUCUGGCCUUCAUCUUUCUCCUGUGCUAGGUGCUUCCUGCCCUCGAACAUCAGACUCCAAGUUCUUCAGCUUUCAAAAUCUUGGACUUAUAUUGGUAAUUUGCCAGAGACCCUUGGGCCUUUGGCCACAGACUGAAGGCUGCACUGUUGGCUUCCCUAUUCUUGAGGUUUUGGGACUCGCACUGAUCCACCACUGGCUUCCUUGGCUCCUCAACUUGCAGCCGGCCUAUCAUGGGACUUACCUAGUGAUCAUAUACUCAAUCUCUAGGAAACCCAAUUGACAAGUUUCUGGCAAUUCAACACCAUGUAGUAUCGCACGUCAGAAAUCGGAAUGCUGUGACCUCUGAGAUAAUUCACCCACCGGAGUCAGACUGCUGAAGAACACUGGAUGGGUGGAAAAGGAACAUCUCAACCAGGAGAGAAGGAACUGAGUCAAGAAAGGGCUGCAUCUGGUGAAUAUGUCCCUCCCAGUGAUGGAACCCAGGGCUGCUGCAGCCAAGAGUCUAUAACAGUGGAGACGCCUUGAGCAAAGCCCCAGAGCCCUUGAGCUGCCUGUUCCCCUCCUCUGACAUGAUGGGUAAUCUGAUGGAAGCGCUGAGAGGCACUGCCUAGAAUUAAGCCCUAUGUGUAAACGAAGCAAGGAAGAAAGAACAUGUGCUAUCAAAUAUGAUUCAUGAUUCAAAUAUAUUUUAAUAUCUUAUUCUUUUCACACUCUGAGAAACUAUUCUGAUAAUGUGAUUGUUUUGUAAAGGAGUGUAUCUUCGGAUAAUAUACAGAUUUUAUAGCUAUUGCACAGUUUUAAUAAGCAAAAGACUUGCUAGGUUGAACUGGGUUCAACCCAAACCACUGUACAAUUUAAUUCAACACAAUAUUCCUCUGUUUAAAGUGCAUGUAAUUGCCAAUUUAUACAGUCACCAAGACCAAAGGUUUGCUAAAUAGAGUUCUGCAAACAUAGUAUGGCAUGUUUUAUCCCCAAGUACCAUAAACGAAGAAAGAAUGAAACUAAUCAUUAAUCAAUCAUGUAUCUAAUUCAUUUCAAGGGCUUCUUUCAACUGUACAAUUAUCCAAUGAAUAAAUUCAAAUCCACCUGUGUUAGUAUUUUUCUAGACUUUAUCACCAUAAGUUUUUAAAAAUCCUUAGAAACUCAAGGAAAUGCGUAAAAUGAAAUUGACAUUAUCUUAAACAGUAUUAGAUUGCUAUUCCCUCUUCUUUCAUAAAGAUUUUCUUUAUGGAGAGUUAUUCUUAAAUAGCACUGAUAUUUCUGAAAGUUUCCCCAAGUGCUCCAUUCUUAAAGAAAUUUUUAUUUAAAGGAUGAACAAUACAUAACACUGCUUAGUGUGUGUGUGUUUCAGUGAAAACCAUUAUACUGUAAAAACUCAUUCUACAACUUUUUUUCUGUCUAAAUUGUAAUUUUUGAGAUGUAGUAAACAUAUCACUGUGUGUAAAUAGAUCUAAUUCUACUAACUGGAAAAAACGCUCAACACUCAUGACAGAGGUUAUUUCUAGGGACCUAGGGAGGGGAAUGAGGCUUGGAAUCCCAGACAAAAGGCAUGUGAACUUUAUAUAUAAUGUAUUAUUUAUUUUAUUAAAUAUUGAAGUAAAU